rnacentral:rRNA from 1 species
GAUGAACGCUGGCGGCGUGCCUAAUACAUGCAAGUCGAGCGAACAGACGAGGAGCUUGCUCCUCUGACGUUAGCGGCGGACGGGUGAGUAACACGUGGAUAACCUACCUAUAAGACUGGGAUAACUUCGGGAAACCGGAGCUAAUACCGGAUAAUAUAUUGAACCGCAUGGUUCAAUAGUGAAAGACGGUUUUGCUGUCACUUAUAGAUGGAUCCGCGCCGCAUUAGCUAGUUGGUAAGGUAACGGCUUACCAAGGCAACGAUGCGUAGCCGACCUGAGAGGGUGAGCGGCCACACUGGAACGGAGCCACGGACCAGACUACUACGGGAGGCAACAGUAGGGAAUCUUCCGCAAUGGGCGAAAGCAUGACGGAGCAACGCCGCGUGAGUGAUGAAGAUCUUCGGAUCGUAAAACUCUGUUAUUAGGGAAGAACAAAUGUGUAAGUAACUAUGCACGUCUUGACGGUACCGAAUCAGAAAGCAACGGCUAACUACGUG